GCUGGCGGCGUGCCUAAUACAUGCAAGUCGAGCGAAUCUUUGGGAGCUUGCUCCCAUUGGUUAGCGGCGGACGGGUGAGUAACACGUGGGCAACCUGCCUGUAAGACUGGGAUAACUUCGGGAAACCGGAGCUAAUACCGGAUAAUUCAUUUCCUCUCAUGAGGAAAUGCUGAAAGACGGUUUCGGCUGUCACUUACAGAUGGGCCCGCGGCGCAUUAGCUAGUUGGUGAGGUAACGGCUCACCAAGGCGACGAUGCGUAGCCGACCUGAGAGGGUGAUCGGCCACACUGGGACUGAGACACGGCCCAGACUCCUACGGGAGGCAGCAGUAGGGAAUCUUCCACAAUGGACGAAAGUCUGAUGGAGCAACGCCGCGUGAGCGAUGAAGGCCUUCGGGUCGUAAAGCUCUGUUGUUAGGGAAGAACAAGUACCGGAGUAACUGCCGGUACCUUGACGGUACCUAACCAGAAAGCCACGGCUAACUACGUGCCAGCAGCCGCGGUAAUACGUAGGUGGCAAGCGUUGUCCGGAAUUAUUGGGCGUAAAGCGCGCGCAGGCGGUCCUUUAAGUCUGAUGUGAAAGCCCACGGCUCAACCGUGGAGGGUCAUUGGAAACUGGGGGACUUGAGUGCAGAAGAGGAAAGCGGAAUUCCACGUGUAGCGGUGAAAUGCGUAGAGAUGUGGAGGAACACCAGUGGCGAAGGCGGCUUUCUGGUCUGUAACUGACGCUGAGGCGCGAAAGCGUGGGGAGCAAACAGGAUUAGAUACCCUGGUAGUCCACGCCGUAAACGAUGAGUGCUAAGUGUUAGGG
rnacentral:rRNA from 1 species